ACAUGGGUACCUCACACCCAUAAUAUUAGGCCACAUCAUUCCAUAGCUACUGCUGGUGCUCACUGACAUUGAUGUUUACAGGUGGUGGAGACUGGGGCAUAGAUGAGUGAUGAGUCACAGAAAAUAACAUCGGGAAAACAAAAUACCCAACCGUGUAGGAAGAAUGAAAUUUUAUAAUGCUCAAGGAACAUGAGCUAUUUUAGGUCUAUCUCUGGAUCAUGACGCACCUGGUAUGAUAACGGAGUGGUAAAUGAUUUAUGGUCCAUUUUGCUUGAAUGAUCUAUAUCAAUGAGCUAUCACUCAUUUGGUGGUAGGUCACUGUAUAUGAUAAAUCUUAAUCUUGGAUUUUGCUUGAUGAAUUAUUUAAACAGGAGCCUACCUAGUAACCUAAGAUUUACAAAGUGGUGAAAAAUCCUACAACAUGCUGCCUACAUAUGAGCUACUACCUAUACAUUAAGUCUUUUUAACCAACAUGGCAGGAGCUCUGCCUUUCAAUUAAGAAAGGAAAAGAAAUAGUUCACAAGCACAGGCAGCCCAGUGGUCGCAAGGAUAAGGUCACAAAAGAGUCGCCUCGUCAAACAAACACACCCCAGCCCUAAGUGAUUAGUCAGGAAGUCUGUUUAUACUCUUCUAUGUUCUCUUAUGUGCGAGCCGUGACCUGUUGGGCAGUGAGGAACUCGUGCUCGAAGAUCCUUCGGUUUCGUCCCUUCCAGAUAUUCCACGUAGUGGAGAUGACGAGACUGUUGAAACUGCGCCUUUCAUCUUCCAGAACUUGGUGAGCAGCCGCCUCCCUCCAUCCCCCAAUGUUGGCAAAUUGUGUCGGUGGUGUAUGCUGGAAGGUAAUGAGGUUUUCCCAAUUUAAAACCUAGGACCAAACCGCUUGGGGAAAAGGACAGGUUAGACACAAAUGCAAGCAGGUUUCCAUUGUUCCAUUGAGCAUGUCCAGCCUUGUUUUGCAUGAGGAUCCAAGCAAACAGUUUGCACUUGUUCUCCGAGGAACUGAGCUCUGUAGGCCGAACACGCGGAAUAUUUCCCGUCUGUUGUCCAUUUCCAUUUGAUCUGAUCCUCCACAUAUGGCUGCACCAGGAGGCAAAUUCCUCUACGUGUGUAAGACCUUGUAAGACUUGCUUGCUCUUCUUCUUAAAUGACAGUGCAGUUCUCCUGCAAACUUUUCCAAAAAAAUUCCUCUACGUGUGUUGAUGUCGUUGUCUUGCCUUGGAGGGUUUUUAUCCAGGUGUUGUUUUUCAGUUCCUGCUCCACUGUUUCAUUUUUUUUUUCCUUUUGGUAAGUUCAAAUAGGUGCGGCGCUAGAUUUCGUAUUUCGUGGAGCCUCACCGUCCAGCCAGCUGCGAUGCCAGAACUUUGCCUUCUUGCCAUUGCCGAUGGAGAUGGUUGUGGAUGCAUUAAAGAAAAACCGAUCAGCACUAUUGCGAGCCUCACCGUCCAGCCAGCUGCGAUGCCAGAACUUUGCCUUCUUGCCAUUGCCGAUGAAGAUGGUUGUGGAUGCAUUAAAGAAAAACCGAUCAGCACUAUUGCAAGGGACAUCUGAACCAACACAUGGCUUGUAAUCCUCGGUCCACUCCUGCCAAAGCCAUCGCGACCAAAUUUGUCAAGGUCUGUCACCCCAAGGCCACCCAAGUCUUGGGCCCGCUAACUGUCGGCCAAUUCACGAGGCAAUGUCCCCCAUUGGCGUUCUCUUCACCCUUCCAAAGGAAAGAGCGUCGAAUUUUGUCGAUCUGCAGUUUCCUCAGGCAUACUGCCAAAGGAAAGAUGGUCAGAUGGUAAGAGGCUGGGCAUGCAUUUUUUGCAGGGAGCGAGCAUGGAGUAGCAGAGCAAUGUAGCGGCAUGGAAAGGCACCUCGGGUACCUGGGAAAGGCUGAAGCACAAGUUUGCUAUAUGUGACUUUUUUUGUUUUAUGCCGUUAGAAAUGCUAAAUUUGCAAUACUCGUAUCAUGCAUUUUCUAAAAGGAAACAUUCAUAUGAAUUGCAUUUUCAUUCCUGUGAAUUAAGUACAAGCUAAAAAGUCUUUGCCACAAUAAAUUUUGCACACAAACUACAGGGAAAAGACCCUACAGUAGCAUGACAGCGUAUCGCGCAAAUUAAAAGUUGACAGCGCAGAUCGUUUUCAGACAUUGAACCCCAAUCGCAUUCCUCCACCUGUUUUUUGCUAUCGAUAGUUAUGUCAUUUUUCGUUGCCUCUUUAAUAAGCAAAUGACAUCUUCUUUUGAGGCCUAAAAUAUCUCAAAGCCAAAAGCGAAGGAGGGACGACACUGCCUUCCAUUUCCAUUUGUUGCAGCUUGCAAGAGUUUCAUUUUAGAAAAUGCAAACUUGUUCCAGCCUUUGCAUAGUUUACACGCAUCCUGACUACUUUCGACUUUUCAAGAGCUAAUGCACUGUCAUUCUGUCAAAGGUCUACUUAUCCACACUGCCAGCCAGCACAUCCCUAUCUGCUAGUAUCUCACAGUGACAUUUGAGGCCAUCUUCCAAGGUAUCUCCUUGCCAAAAAUCUGCAUACCCGUGGCUUUGGACAAUUGGUUGGGAGCACAAUGAUUGCCAAACGAGCUUAUCACUAAGAGAUCACACAGAAAAAAAAAUCUGAAACAUUAAUGCAUGUCGACUGUCAAAAUGCUGAUUCCUGAAAAUCAAAAUAUUAUUGCACAUUUUUAGUGUCAAUUAACGUUGAAACAACCUGAUAGGGAGCAAGGGGUUAGGUAAGCUACAUAUGCUGUAGCCAGCCUUCUCCUUAUAUACCACACUAGAACGGGUGCACUUGCACAAACAAGCCACUCCUCCCACCACCUUCUUCUUCCUCUUUUUUAUCAGCAGACUGCGGUGUUCCUUUCGGUCGCGAAGAAGAAGCGGCCGCAACAAUGGAUGAGCCUUUCCAGGGCGAGGACCGGAACCUGUCGGCCGUGGAUCACGUCAAGAAGCGCCAUCACGAGAAGGGCUUCUUCUAUGCCUGGUCAGUAAGAUCACCACAAGCUACUCGAUGAGUUGCUCUGCAGAAAACUAUCCACGUACAACUGCAAGCAGCAAGCAUCUGCAGAGUCUCAUGUUCUGCACAAGUGUCGUCGAAGCAAAUUUACACGUUCAUAAGUAAGAUGCAUCAUGGUGAUAUUGAUUCUUUCUAUUUGGUUGUUGCUUGCAGCGCCUUCACGCUGUGCUGCUGCUUCUGCUGCUACGAGGCCUGCGAGCACUGCCUGGAGUUCUUCUGUUGCUGCUGCAAGAAGGACGAUUAGGAUCGGUCCAGGCAUUAUUCAGCCAAUUUCGUCGUCGCGCCAUGAUCAGUUCGUUGUGGAUGCGUUUCGUCUGUGAAGAAUUGUGAUCAAUCUGGAAUUGUUCAUCGAAAUAAAGCAUGCCGUGAUUGGUGUAAACUC
rnacentral:lncRNA from 1 species